GUACGAAUCUGAGGGAACUUUAGUUUUGGAGAAUUCAGAUGAUGAAGUGUGUGUUGAUGAUACUCCAUGCAGAGACAGUGGUCUAGAUAACAAGGUGGUUUCGAAUCAACUGAUUAGUGAGAGCGGGUCUGACAAGAAGCAAAUUGUUUCUGGUUCAGUGCCACCAUGGUUUACCUUUAUACAUGCAGAGUAUUUGAAUUUGAAACAUACCCACGACCAGUCCAAUUUUGUCACGGGUAUAAAUAAAAGAGAAUCAUUUCUUGGAUCUCUUGAUAAGAUUGGGGAAGUUGAUUAG